UACGGGGGGAGCAAGCGUUAAUCGGAAUUACUGGGCGUAAAGCGUGCGCAGGCGGUUAUGCAAGACAGAUGUGAAAUCCCCGGGCUCAACCUGGGAACUGCAUUUGUGACUGCAAGGCUGGAGUGCGGCAGAGGGGGAUGGAAUUCCGCGUGUAGCAGUGAAAUGCGUAGAUAUGCGGAGGAACACCGAUGGCGAAGGCAAUCCCCUGGGCCUGCACUGACGCUCAUGCACGAAAGCGUGGGGAGCAAACAGG
rnacentral:rRNA from 1 species